GCCUGUCUUCCUACUGGUCCACUGAAAAAGUUCUUCUCUUUUAUCCCUAUCUUCCUUCUUCUGGAGCAAGAGAAUUGAGCCUAGCCAAGAGGGGUCAGCAACCUUGUUUGACUUAAACGGCAUUCAGUGGAAACAGACUAUGGGAGAUCUUCACUUGUGUGCCAACUGACUUAGUCAUAAUGACCAAAAGAAGUGGGAAGACCACCAGUGUGUUCUACCUUUUCCACCUAGUGUCUGUAGAUUGAGGUGUGACAAGCAAGGGCAGGAAGGACAGAUGCAUGCUGCCAUUUUUAAGUGUAUAUUGCCGAUGGAAGCUCUUCACCUCCUCCAAAGCUUUUAAUCAAUGUUCAUUUACUCAUCCUUUCAAAAUUGUGAGCUCUUCAGCUAGAGCAGUACACUAUGAUACUGAACAGAUUUUACGUUUUAAAACUGAAAUAUACAACCAAGAUAAUCUACCAUGUGUGAUUGUUAUAAUUUGUGUUAUUAUGAGAUGUAUUAACAAUACAGUAUAUUAAAAUGGCUAAAGUUUUUUUUUAAUUAUAAUCAAACAUUUUGGUGAAAUAAGGACAUGGUUAGCUCUGGAAAGUAAGAAGACAAAGGAAGCGUGUUGGCCCUAAAAUUUAGUUCCUUUUAUUUGCAUGUCUGUCUACUCCUUCCCCUAUCCUUUCACCGUUCUAAAGUCCUUACUUGCAGCUUCAUUAUAAACUUCACUUCUUCUCUGGCUGCUUGAGUGGCUACCUGCAUUGCUAAGUUGGUGCGGAUUAUGAAAUUCCUGAAUAAUAAAAGCAAAGGAUAACAAUCAGAAAUGUCCACUACAAAGUAGGGAAAAGUUGAGCCACACCUUUGUCAUCAAUGUAGACACAAUUUUUUUUUUUCUGUUGUGAAAGAUACUGUCUCAUUUCAUGGAAGUGUAAAGCCUCACCCUAAGACUAUGGGUGCCAUAUAACUGUACCCAGGAGUACUGAAAGCUCAUGUUAAUAUUGUUAAGAGUAUUUAGGCUUCAACUUCUGCUAUGAGAAAAGGAAUUUUCUCUAGAUUUUAAAAAAGAUACCCAAAUGGUUUACUGUUUUGCUUCGUUUAUUUCAAUCUAGUUAAGUAUAAAAAUCAAGGGUCUACUGAUUCGACUGUUGAAAAUGUUCAAUUGGUAGUUGACAUAAAGAACCAAAUUGUCAUUUUGCUAUAAGAGUAACCAAAAUUUUGUACUACUGUACAAAAUUUAAAAAGUAUCAUGUGAACAGUAAUUGGAAAAAUUAUGUUGUUUUGAGAUAGACUUUGUGAAAUUUAGGACUUCCCUGAAGUUUAAACAAAUUGGUUUACUAAAAUCUAAGGAUUAAGGAAAUAGUAUUGUAAUUUGUAAAUAAAUAAAUAACCAAAGAAUCUCUUUGAAAGUUGAACUUAACAGAUGAACUUAACCAAAAUACAAAUAUAAAGUUACCGGUACCAGGAAAAGGUGGAGAGGGAGGAUGAAGGAAAUGGGGGUGGGGAGCACUAAAAUUCCGAAAGGGGAGGUAGAGAACUCUGAAUUCAUACUUCCUGUGUCUCGUUUGUGCUCCUAUCCGUCCUCUGCGUUUUCUAGAGCAGUGAGAGAAAUAGAGAAAUUAACAAGCUAGCCUACUAAUUGGGAUGGUGCUGACCUCAUGGAACACACUGUGGCAUAAACAUUGUGGGGUUAUUCACUCUGUUUUAAUCCAAACUGCCCAAACUUUAAUGAAUGGGACAGAAAGAUGCCCUAAGGCCUCUAAAGAAUGAUGAGUGCAGCAUACUGUAUAAUUCCUAAUAACCACAAGAUUUAUCAAGGAUUUAUAGUGAUAGAAUUGAAGGCCGAAUAUAGAUUUUUUUUAAUUAAUUAAAAUAUAGAGUAAAAUAGUUUGUAGUUUUGAUUUGUAAGCAUAAGGUCUCAUACUUGACAUUAUAGCAUGCCUCAUUCUAAGCAACUUUGUUAGUUCCUUAUUUGGUAGACAAGUCAGUAACUGUUGAAGUGUUGCAAAAUGUUUAGUGAAUAUUAUAUAAACACAUGAUCCAUCUAAGUGAGUCUCUCUUCCCCUUUUUCUCUAAUAAUGAAACAAGUUGUUUAGAUAGUGGGUGUUCUUGAACAUACCCUAACCAUAAACGUGAGGAGGUCCUGCCGCUUCUCACAUAGUUUAUAGCUUAACGAGACUCAUACCUUCAAUAGUUAUGAAGUAAACUAUUGAAGAUUUGAAUAUAUUCACUCCCAUAGAGCUGUUUUCAAUAACAACUCUUUUAAGACCAAGUUACCCUUUUCUGUUCAUACUAGAGUUUAGUACCAGGAAACAAACCAGAUCAUGAACAGGAAUAAUUAUGGCAUUUAGACAUUUAUUGUUCACACAUAGUGAUACCAACACAAAUAUAAAUAGGGCGUUUGAGCCAGAUUGACAUUCUUAAAUCUAAGCCUCGUAGUGGGUUCAAGAGGUUUCUUUUAAUAUUUCUGUAUAUUGAUCAUAGUUAGGAAUUCAUAGAAGCCAGUCAGAGGAAGGAAGGUGUUAAAAAAAAUCAACAGACUAGUCACCAGCAAUUUGUUACUAUAGUAACUGGUAUAGGGACCAGCUAGAUGGUUCAUCAGUGAAAAGGCACUUGUCACACAAGCCUGGCAACCUGCAUUCAACCCUGGGACCCACAUAAAAGGUGGGGUGGGAGAACUGACUAUGCAGAGCUGCCCCGAGCUACAUGCACACACACAUACAAAAUAACAACAAAUAAAUAUUUUUAAAUACUGUUGUAAUAAUCUCAAGGUAGGACAGACACAUCAGUCCUAUCUUGUUUUUAACUAGUGGUGCCUACACCAGACACCAGGUGUAGAGUGUAUUUUUCACUUGCACUGCCUCUAAGUUUCACUGCAGAACUGUUGCUUUUUAAUACUGAACUGUAACCCUUUCUUAAAGCUCAGAUUCAUUUUCAACUUAAUACAUGAGUUGAUAUGUCAGAUGAAAUUCUUUGCACAGACGCUCCUCCUGUCAGUAUUGUUGAUCUUAGCAGAAUAAACUUUGGAAAGAUGGGGGGACCUUUGAAGGUAACAUAUAUAAACAUGCUUCUGGAGGUAACAUAUAUGAACAUGCUUCUGGAGCAUGCGUAAGCCUAGAAGCUUGCCUUGAGUCUAGCAUGCCAAUUGUCGGGGAACUAUCUAUCUCAGUGUGUUAGUGUUUGCAGUUCUGAUAUAUACUAUCUCUGUAGGUUUGUGGUGUUAGGUCAUCAGAGUCUCUGGAAUUUAUUGCUAAGUUGUAAGUAUAACUUAGCCGUUAAUUGAUGGAGUAUUUGGUCACAUAUAUUCUGUAACACUAUCUCAAAAGUUGACUAUUUUACCCCCAAACCCUUCUCCCGACAAAAAUUAUAAAUGGUGGUUGUUUUUGAACCAAAAAAAAUCUAAAUAAAGGUUGUUUUAUAAGUCGU
rnacentral:lncRNA from 1 species